rnacentral:lncRNA from 1 species
UAACCUGCAACAAAUCAAAAACAAAUGAAAUGAAAUCUUAUCUGCAACUCUGAAAAAGACUGUCAGAUAAUAAUCCUUGCUUCAAAACAGACAAGAACCGUUCUCACAAAUCUUUGGCAAUCUGAAAAGGACUGCUGCGUAACAAGACCCACAAACAAAAGGAAGUGACUACCAGCAAACCGUAAAUCCAGAGUCAUUCCUCUCCUUCAAAUUAGGGAUGAUGAAGUUCUCAAGGCAAGUGACCUCAAAAAAGAUUCUUCCGUACCAAUAAAUAAUUAAUUCUACAAUUAUUUGUAUUCCAGAAGAAAGAUACAGAAGAAAAUAAAGAUGCUGACUUGGACUCCUGCUGAAAUGCAGAUCAGGCAUGAAAGUAACAUAUUUCGUCAACAGUUAAGAAUGUUAACUUGGAGAAAUAUCAUCUACAUUGUUUCAUCUACUAAUUAUGCAUACAGAAAAUCAUCUGAUAUCAAGUAGAUAGUAGAUAGAUCUAUAAAAUACUGGUAUUUUAAGAGACAGAAAUGUUCUUACAUGUGAGCUCUAUGUACUGCAAAGUCUGAACAGUCUCCAACUGAGAGUCUUUUCUGUAUUCGCAGUCCAAAAGUAAAGUUUAGCCUUGCUCUAAAAUCCACAACCUG